rnacentral:lncRNA from 1 species
UGUGGGAUUUCUUCUUUUCUGUUUGUCCUUACAAUAUAUUUAUUUCUAAACUUCUGCCACCUCCAGAAUGAUCAGAGUGUGCUCCGUUGUGUGGAUUUCUGCUUCAUCUGGCCAGAGGAUCAAGGGCAGAUUGUGAAGAACUCCAUUAAUUGCAAUUUUAAUUUCAGCAACAUGUGCAGCAGUAUCCUUGUUGUCUUGACUGAAAGAAUGAUCCUGUGUGUUUUAGCUGGAUCUUCUUUGCUACAAUCCAUAACAGAUGCCAUUGGUGUUUUUGUUCCUAUCGCUACUUGAUGGCUUUCUCCAACCGCACUUCACAUUCCUGAAGC